rnacentral:rRNA from 1 species
UACGUAGGGCGCAAGCGUUAUCCGGAUUUAUUGGGCGUAAAGCGCGCGUAGGCGGUUUGGUAAGCCGGGUGUGAAACCCUCGAGCUCAACUCGGGGCGGCCACUCGGAACUGCUAUGACUUGAGUCUGGUAGGGGAACACGGGAAUACCUGGUGUAGCGGUGAAAUGCUUAGAUAUCAAGGUGGAACACCAGUGGCGGAAGGCGGUGUUCUGGGCCAGUACUGACGCUGAGGCGCGAAAGCGUGGGGAGCGAACGG